GCCCUGGGGAAGAUGUAAGAGGGAGGAGGCCAGGGAGAUCAGGGUUCUGCUGCAUUUGGUUCCUGCCCUGUGAGGUGGCUGCAUCCUAAAAAUCACCGACCCGCUCCAGGCUGCCAAACCCUACAAGAAUCUCUCCUUCCAGCUUCUGAGAAUAGUGGCUUAGCUUUUCUAAGAAAACUGAAGACAGCUCUGGCGAAGGGGUGAAUGGUGUUGUUGGUGGCACCCAGAAAUACUCAUCAAGUUUGUUCAUGGUCAAAGGGUGAGUCAAAGGUCGUCUUCACAAAACUUUUGCAAGAGCUACAUCACUCACCAUUGAACUUAGAUGACAUUUGAAUUCAGCCUAUUGCUGAAAAGUGGACUGGAAAGCUGA